GAUCUGAGCAGCGACCUGAGGGGUCCCAGCUUGGCUUCCAGCUCCUCCAGUCAGAGGCCAGGCAGCUCGACGUGAGGCCGGGGCUCCAGGAAGGUCAAGACCCCUAGCAGCUUGAAACAAUACCAGCCCUGGUGGCUGUGUAGCAGCAUCCCUGCCUACCACAUGGAGGAUCCAAGUUCAAGUCCCAGUUUUGGUGACUUGGGCAACCCCUUCAUCAUCAAGAGCAGCUGUUAACACCCAAUGUCAGUGCAAUUACCAAAAAAAUAAAACAGCAGCUAAGGAAAUUAUUCUUCAGUUACUGACAGAAGCAUCCCAAAAUGAUAGUGAUCAAAUGACAUCAGAAAUUAAAGAUAUGGUCAAUGGGUUGAAGAGGAGCAAGGAAGCCAAUUUGCAGCUGUUCCAAGACCUGACAGAAGAGAUGCAGCAACCCGGACCGAGGAGCAAUGGUAUCAGUGGGGAUACUGAUUCACUAAUUAGGCAUGACUGAAAAUGAGCCAUAUCAAGGAGGAACUGCUCUUUACUGGAAGAAGCGCAUGAUGGUUCUUUCUUUCAGUUAAACAAUCCUGCUCAGUAGAGGAUGAUUGUCUUUCAUGAAUGUCUUAUAUGUGGGUUUGAAGACUGCUACAUGAGGUCAAUCGGGGAUCAACAGACUCUACUGCAAUGCAUGCACAGGUUUCUGUGCAAGAUGAGUGGCUCUGGAUUCUCGUUUCUGCUGCUCCUGCUUGUCUGUCUCCUGUUGUUGUUGUUGUUGUUUCAUAGUUUAAUAGUUGGUAGGGUCAGAAGGGACCUGAGCAGAUCAUCAAAUCUGACACCCUGCCAUG